CGGAGAGGGAGCCUGAGAAACGGCUACCACAUCUAAGGAAGGCAGCAGGCGCGUAAAUUACCCAAUGCAGAUUCUGCGAGGUAGUGACAAUACAUAACAACCUGGGGUCUCACGACUUACGGGAUUGCAAUGAGAACAAUUUAAAAACCUUAACGAGGAACAAGUGGAGGGCAAGUCUGGUGCCAGCAGCCGCGGUAAUUCCAGCUCCACUAGCGUAUAUUAAAGUUGUUGCAGUUAAAAAGCUCGUAGUUGAACUUCUGGUUGUGCGCCAGUGGUCGGUCUUCGAUCGCCCUGGGUGCAGCCAUCCGUCUGCAAACUUUUACAUCCUUAACUGGUUUGUCUAAGGGAGCAGGCAUUUUACUUUGAAAAAAUUAGAGUGUUUAAGGCAGGCACUAGCCGCUGAAUACAUUAGCAUGGAAUAAUGGAAUAGGACGCCUUGUCCAUUUGAUUGGUUAUUGGACUUGCGUAAUGAUUAAUAGGGACAGUUGGGGGCAUUAGUAUUUAAUUGUCAGAGGUGAAAUUCUUGGAUUUAUUAAAGACUAACUUAUGCGAAAGCAUUUGCCAAGGAUGUUUUCAUUAAUCAAGAACGAAAGUUAGGGGAUCAAAGACGAUCAGAUACCGUCCUAGUCUUAACUAUAAACUAUACCGACUCGGUUUUGGUGGGGUGUGUAUAACUCUAUCAGCGCCGUAUGAGAAAUCAAAGUCUUUGGGUUCUGGGGGGAGUAUGGUCGCAAGGCUGAAACUUAAAGGAAUUGACGGAAGGGCACCACCAGGUGUGGAGCCUGCGGCUUAAUUUGACUCAACACGGGGAAACUUACCAGGUCAAAACAUGGGUGGGAUUGACAGAUUGAGAGCUCUUUCUUGAUUCUGUGGGUGGUGGUGCAUGGCCGUUCUUAGUUGGUGGAGUGAUUUGUCUGCUUAAUUGCGUUAACGAACGAGACCUUAACCUGCUUAAUAGGUGCCCCGUGUACAACGGGGUACUCUUCUUAGAGGGACUAUGCGUUUCAAGCGCAUGGAAGUUUGAGGCAAUAACAGGUCUGUGAUGCCCCUAGAUGUCCUGGGCCGCACGCGCGCUACACUGACCCACUCAGCAAGUACUCCCUGGCCUGGAAAGGUUCGGGUAAUCUUCGCAAUAUGGGUCGUGUUAGGGAUCGAUCUUUGCAAUUAUAGAUCUUGAACGAGGAAUACCUAGUAAGUGCAAGUCAUCAGCUUGUACUGAUUACGUCCCUGCCCUUUGUACACACCGCCCGUCGCUCCUACCGAUUUCGAAUGGUCCGGUGAACCUUCUGGAGCAGUCGCAAGACCGCGAAGUUAAGUAAACCUUAUCAUUUAGAGGAAGGAGAAGUCGUAACAAGGUAACC
rnacentral:rRNA from 1 species